UACGUAGGGUACAAGCAUUAAUCGGAAUAAUUGGGCGUAAAGGGCGCGUAGGCGGAAGCGUAAGUCAGAUGUGAAAUACCAAAGCUCAACUUUGGUGCUGCAUUUGAAACUGCGUUUCUUGAGGAUUGACGGAGAAAGCGGAAUUCCACGAGUAGCGGUGAAAUGCGUAGAUACGUGGAGGAACACCGGUGGCGAAAGCGGCUUUCUAGUUUUUACCUGACGCUGAGGCGCGAGAGCAAGGGGAGCAAACAGG
rnacentral:rRNA from 1 species